rnacentral:misc_RNA from 1 species
AGAUUUUUUUUUUUUUUUUUAUUUGAUGUAACUUUUGAGCUCUACGUGUUGGAAAAUACCGAAGACAGUUUAAGCACAUUUCGACCGAAAAAAUAUUUUAUUUUGCUCAAUUUUUUAAUUUUUUUUUGUUAUUAUACUUUUUAACUCUAAUUUCUUAAUGAUAAUUUUUUCAAUUUACAAUUAAGGACAUUCUCCUCAUGAAAAAUAAUAGAUAUUAGUAUUUAUCAGUACCUAAUUUUAUAUUAUAUUAUUUGAUAUAUAACUAAUUGCAAGUAAUAAUGACACAAGAAAUAUUUUGUGAUCGAUGGUCAAUGUGUUAUUACAACAAUUUUUACAACUUAGGUCCAAAACUCACUGCUAUAAUUCUUAUAUUUUUUUUCCUUGCUUGCUUGCUUCUCCACGUCCACACCAUUUCUUUAACUGAUUGGCUAAAAUUACUUUAAUAUAAAUUCUAGGUUUAACUUAAUCCCUAACCUAAUCUGUAAAGUUGUGGCCUAGACUUGCAUAUAGUUGACAUUUGCAUCUAAGUUAAAACUGAUAUUAAAGAAAAUGCAGCUACAAAUACAGUUUAGAAUUUUGCAUUUAGUUUAAAUGGGUUUCAAUUGUAAAUUAAUUCAUUAGUAUGUGACCUAUUCACAUAUGCUAAGAGAUUUCCAAGUCGAUUUUUCGCUUCUUCUAUCUUAGAGUGGUGAUGAAUUCUAAAUGGUGCGAGAAUUUAAUGUAUUAAACACAUCAGGUAUAAAUAUUAUUACCUGGUGUCUGUAAAACUAACACGUCUAUUUCAUUUUGAAGUAUUUAUCUUUGGCUUUAAUGUCAUCACGCACCGGCUAGAGCAAAGGUCAGACGCUAGAAAUGGACCAAAUGAAUUUGUCCAGUGCUUCCAUAAAUUAUUAAUUAAAAAAUAA